rnacentral:tRNA from 1 species
GGUAGCAUGCCAGAGUGGUUAAUGGGUGGGCCUUGAAGACCAAACGCUCUUGGAGAGCCCAUGACUUCGGUCUCGCAGGUUCGAACCCUGCUGCUAUCG